rnacentral:rRNA from 1 species
UGGGGAAUUUUGGACAAUGGGGGCAACCCUGAUCCAGCCAUCCCGCGUGUGCGAUGAAGGCCUUCGGGUUGUAAAGCACUUUUGGCAGGGAAGAAACAGCCUGGGAUAAUACCCCGGGCGACUGACGGUACCUGCAGAAUAAGCACCGGCUAACUACGUGCCAGCAGCCGCGGUAAUACGUAGGGUGCAAGCGUUAAUCGGAAUUACUGGGCGUAAAGCGUGCGCAGGCGGUUCGGAAAGAAAGGUGUGAAAUCCCAGGGCUUAACCUUGGAACUGCACUUUUAACUACCGAGCUAGAGUACGUCAGAGGGGGGUAGAAUUCCACGUGUAGCAGUGAAAUGCGUAGAGAUGUGGAGGAAUACCGAUGGCGAAGGCAGCCCCCUGGGAUGAUACUGACGCUCAUGCACGAAAAGCGUGGGGAGCAAACAGGAUUAGAUACCCUGGUAGUCCACGCCCUAAACGAUGUCAACUAGCUGUUGGGGUUUAUUAACCUUAGUAGCGCAGCUAACGCGUGAGGUUGACCGCCUGGGGAGUACGGUCGC